AUGAAGCACCUCACCCUAACUAACAACAACUUUAGUGCAGUUCUGCCGAUGCCGAUGGCCGAGCUUUCAACACUCCAUAACCCGCUUCUUGACACGAAUGGCUUCACCGACGAGAUUCUAGAGGCAUUCUCAAGCCUAAAGGAACUAAUCAUGUUGGACCUAUGGGGCAACAAGCUCAGUGGUUCAAUCCCCGUCUGGAUUUGGCAGCACCAAAAGUUCGGGAUCUUGUACGUGUAUGACAAUGGACUCAUCGAGGAGCUGUCAUGCAACAUCACUACGGUGAAUUUGAUUAAGAAAGACUUGUCGGGAAACAAACUCACCGGCUGCAUACCAGAAGACUUUGGGACUCUCAAGAAACUAACCAUUAUCAUCAUAUACAACAAUGAGUUCAUAUGCCCCAUCCCUGGAAGCAUUGACCUCAUUCCCAACCUCCAAUACAUCCAGUUGUUUGACAAUAUGCUCUCGAGUGAGGUGCCACAAGAACUUGGGAAGCACUCUCCGCUUGGAAAUAUUGAGGUCUACAACAAAAACUUGUCUAGCUCACCACUGCAGGAGUUAUGCGCUCAUGGGAAACUAUUCAACAUAGUAGUUUCUAACAACAGCUUCUCUGGCGAGCUCUCGGGCAACUUCGACGACUGGCUGCACCACCGUUACCGCGAGGGCGCCCCUGCACCAUUGUACAUGCCGAGGAGGCCGACCAUCGCUAUUGAUGCAGCCUUGGGUCUGAACUACAUCCACCAAGUGUGCGGACAGGCUAUUAUCCACUGGGACAUCAAGUCAGACAACAUUUUGCUUGACCCAAAGUUCCAUGCCAAGAUCGCCGACUUUGGGCUUACUCGAAUGGUUGUCAACCUAGGCGAGUCCCAGCACAUGUCAGCCAUUUGUGAAUACUUUCAGUACAAUGGAAAGGCGAGCAAGAAGACUGACAUCUACAGCUUUGGUGUCGUUCUGCUAGAGCUGACAACCGGCGUGGUUGCCAAGGGCAUUGGAGGUGGAGAAAGCUUGGGUGAAUGGGCAUGGAAGGUGUUACAGGAUGCUAUUUAA
rnacentral:rRNA from 1 species